rnacentral:rRNA from 1 species
AGCGAACGCUGGCGGCAGGCUUAAUACAUGCAAGUCGAGCGCCUGUAGCAAUACAGGAGCGGCAGACGGGAGAGUAACACGUGGGAACGUGCCCUUUGGUUCGGAACAACACAGGGAAACUUGUGCUAAUACCGGAUAAGCCCUUACGGGAAAGAUUUAUUGCCAAAGGAUCGGCCCGCGUCUGAUUAGCUAGUUGGUGGGGUAAUGGCCCACCAAGGCGACGAUCAGUAGCUGGCUGAGAGGAUGAUCAGCCUCAUUGGGACUGAGACACGGCCCAAACUCCUACGGGAGGCAGCAGUAGGGAAUAUUGGACAAUGGGCGCAAGCCUGAUCCAGCCAUGCCGCGUGAGUGAUGAAGG